GCUUCACUGCUUACUUGUAAGCCCCAUGAGCCGGGGGAUGACUUGGCCUUGCUAAGCUGCAGCUGGCGCAGUGAGAAUUCUAUCUCGUUCAGUGAAGUCCUCAUCGGCCACGAGGUUCGCCGGAGUGCGGCGGUGCUUGGCGACAUCGGUGGGGAGUCCGACGGUGGGGACAUCGGCGGCGAUAUCAGCGUCGAGGUCGGCGAGGAGGACAUGAGAUGCUUCGAGAGGUAGGUCUCCAGCGCCUGCUGGCGUAGAGGCGAUCCAUCAUAGGACUCGCCCGCGACCGCCGGUUUCGUUGGCGUCUGCUGCUGCUGCUGCUGCGGGAGGAUGCGCAGCUGAUCGGCGGUGUGGGCGAAGAAGCACACGCGGCGCCGGCAGGCGGUGCCGUCCUUGCAGGGUUGGGUCCGGUAGCGCGCCGGGUGGAGCCAGCACUCGAAAACGCCGUGGGCGAACUCGCAGGCGUCACCGCGCUUGCAGCCGCCCUUGCGGAAGUCCGGGCACGCCGCGCCGGAGUAGUGGUACUUCCGGGGGUCCCGGCGGCGCGCCUUCUCCCCCGGGUGCGCAAAGGGGCACUCGGUCCAGUCGUGGGAGCGACCGCGGGCGCACCGCCGCACCUUGAACUCGUACAUCCGGAACUCGUCCGACGAGUACACGUCUACGGCGGCAUCAGGUUCCUCCACGUCCUCCUCCGCCACCGUCUCCUCGCCGUUACAAGGCAAAUACCUUUGCAGAGCAGCCGCGAGGGCGGAAUCCCCGAGUCCGUACUCCCCACUACCACCCCCACCACCGCCGGCAGCGAGGUGGUAGCCAACGCCAACCGCUGCAUCCUCGAAGGGAGACGACCACGGCGGUACUUGGACCACCGGAUCGCGUUGAUGCCGGCCUUCCCCUCCGACCAUCAUCAUCAUCAUCGUCU
rnacentral:lncRNA from 1 species